CGAUACAAGGUGAUAGCCCUGUACACGACGCAAUCUUUACAGUGAAAUCGAGUAGGUCGGGACACGUGUUAUCUUGACUGAAUAUGGGGGGACCAUCCUCCAAGGCUAAAUACUCCUGACCGACCGAUAGUGAACCAGUACCGUGAGGGAAAGGCGAAAAGAACCCCUGUGAGGGGAGUGAAAUAGAACCUGAAACCGUAUACGUACAAGCAGUGGGAGCCCUUCGGGGUGACUGCGUACCUUUUGUAUAAUGGGUCAGCGACUUAUAUUCUGUAGCAAGGUUAACCGAAUAGGGGAGCCGUAGGGAAACCGAGUCUUAAUAGGGCGUCUAGUUGCAGGGUAUAGACCCGAAACCGAGUGAUCUAUCCAUGAGCAGGUUGAAAGUGACGUAACAGUUACCGGAGGACCGAACCCACUGUCGUUGAAAAGCCAGGGGAUGACUUGUGGAUAGGGGUGAAAGGCUAAUCAAACUCGGUGAUAGCUGGUUCUCCCCGAAAGCUAUUUAGGUAGCGCCUCGGACGAACACCAUUGGGGGUAGAGCACUGUUUCGGCUAGGGGGUCAUCCCGACUUACCAAACCGAUGCAAACUCCGAAUACCGAUGAGUGAUAUCCGGGAGACAGACUGCGGGUGCUAACGUCCGUAGUCAAGAGGGAAACAACCCAGACCGCCAGCUAAGGUCCCUAAAAUUGGCUAAGUGGGAAACGAAGUGAGAAGGCUAAAACAGUCAGGAUGUUGGCUUAGAAGCAGCCACCCUUUAAAGAAAGCGUAAUAGCUCACUAGUCGAGUCGGCCUGCGCGGAAGAUGUAACGGGGCUAAGCCAGUUACCGAAGCUGCGGAUGCACAGUUUACUGUGCGUGGUAGGAGAGCGUUCUGUAAGCCUGUGAAGGUGUCUCGUAAGGGAUGCUGGAGGUAUCAGAAGUGCGAAUGCUGACAUGAGUA
rnacentral:rRNA from 1 species